GGCCGGUUAGCUCAACUGGAUUAGAGCAUCACUCCUCUAAAGUGCAGGUUGUGGGUUCGAGUCCCACACCGGCCC
rnacentral:tRNA from 1 species